AUGGGAGGAUAAGAAUAUUUCCCUAAUAGGUCAGGAUGAAUCUAACUCCCUAAGAGAUGUAAUAUAUCACCUUUUAAAAUAGUACUUACCCGCUGCUAGCUCAGCUCUUACAACACCAAUAUGUAUAAAUUUAAACAGAUUUAGUCGAGUUUACCUUGUAUUAAUUCGAACUGCACGCGAAAUAAGAACACACGAUAAACACGAACAGUGUAUUAUAAUUUAAGUAAUAAAUUACAACACGAUACUUAAGUCUAAAAUAUAUAAAAAACUCUACGCGUAUAACCAAUAUAUAUUCCACCGAAUAGUGGCGUAAGUAGGAUCGCUUUUACCCACCUACGUGUAACUAUCAAAUUGCCCGCGUUGGGUAGCGAAUUUAGAAGACUUAAGUUUAAACGCGAAUACUCUCCCUUAAACACGAACGUUAAGGCAGAGGACCUGGGACUCAAGCACAACUCUUACGUAGGAGUGAGUGGCCUUAUUACUUUUCCGCGGUCAGACCUACCAGACGAAGCGCGAAUCGACAAGUGAAGAUCAAUUCCAUCUCAACUUGGCUUCUAGCCUCGAGUCGAGAAGGAAUUGAGCUUUACGAACUUGUGAGCUUUUCACAUCUGCCCUUAAUGGAACGAUGUGAAAACACCUCUUGGGUGGUUCCCACGUACUUAACACCUUACCUAAGUGCAUCGAGUAUAUGCUUUCAUCUACGUAAAGUACUGUAGAAUCGAACUAUUGAUUGGAUUCUCCAGUACUUCCUUUAGAUGAAAGAUUUAUAAUCCCACUGAGAGAGAUACGAUGAAUAUCCCUGUCUAGCCAGUGAAGGCAUAUUGUCCCCUUACAUUUGCCCCUAACGUGGGUUUACUUCUAAAGUAUCCCCUGAGGAAAUGUAGAGGAAAGCACGGAAAUUUUGAAAAAAGGUGACAUUGUGCUUCACUGGAUGUGACCCUAUUGCCCCCCGUACUUUGCUUGAGUGAUGCGGGGAAUAGUAAUCCCAAAAUAAAUUUUGAAACUCUUUGGUUUUUAUUAUAAUUCCAAAAGUGAGGUGAAUUUUGAGUGUGCUGGUGAGUUGACUCUUACUGAUAAAGAGUAACUACAAUUGACCAUCAAUAUUUGACCGAAGUCAAGAUAUCAAUAAAUCAAUCCAGAAGCUACCUUUGAUCUGGUCACUCCGCAGCAGGGUCAUGGCCGAAAUGGUAAGUAUUUAAGUACGAUUUAAUUUUUGAGGGGGAGGGUUAAUCUAAAAGGUACCCUUCCUCAAUUUUAUGAUUUCAGGAGAAGAUGAAAAAAGCUCAAGAAGUUCGUGGUUGUUUGGCUUUGUUGUCUUUGGAUAGUCUGACCAAGAAUUUUUGAAGAAAAAUUGCUGGUGUAUUUUGGUCAACGACGAUGACAAGAGAAUUACUUUGUUUAUCAAAAACUAAAGAUAAGUACAAAAACAUAUUUACAUUUUUAUCAAAUAAUGUAAAAUUUAAGAGCAUUUUUGUUUCUUAGGAUUAAUCAGUCUAAUUUAAACACAUGAUCGAUUUAAAAUAUCUGUACAUUUUUUAUUUCUAAAAAAAAAUUUUAGAGUUAUGAAAUAAAUUAAAUAAAAAAUGUUGUUUUUGUUUAGGACCAGUUCAGAGAAAGAUGGGUGAAACUUAAAAUAGGAUUGAGCCAAAGUUGAACCAGUCUGUUGGGAUAUUUUUCGUAUUUACAAUAAGUAAGAAGACAAAGAAGAUUUCCUUAACUAAUAAUGCACAGAUCCUUUUUCUUGGCUCAUGGACUUCUUUUCCAGGUUGUAUUUUCUUUUAGAAAAUAAUUUUAGAUAGAAAUUAAAAAUAGAA